CGCCCUGGUCCAAGAUGGCGGAUGAGGCCACGCGACGUGUUGUGUCUGAGAUCCCGGUGCUGAAGACUAACGCCGGACCCCGAGAUCGUGAGUUGUGGGUGCAGCGACUGAAGGAGGAAUAUCAGUCCCUUAUCCGGUAUGUGGAGAACAACAAGAAUGCUGACAACGAUUGGUUCCGACUGGAGUCCAACAAGGAAGGGACUCGGUGGUUUGGAAAAUGCUGGUAUAUCCAUGACCUCCUGAAAUAUGAGUUUGACAUCGAGUUUGACAUUCCUAUCACAUAUCCUACUACUGCCCCAGAAAUUGCAGUUCCUGAGCUGGAUGGAAAGACAGCAAAGAUGUACAGCUGGGUCCAUGGCUGGCAGUGGAAAUCCCUGAUCUGAUUCAGAAGGGCGUCAUCCAACACAAAGAGAAAUGCAACGAAUCAAGCCAUUGAGGCAGGGCAGAGGGACCUUUGAUAGGCUACAAUACUAUUUUCCUGUGCAUCACACUUAACUCAUCUAACUGCUUCCCCGGACACCCUCCACCUCUAGUUGUUACUAAGUAGCUGCAGCAGGCAUUGCUGGGGGAGAAACAAACAAACACCAAACAGUAUUGCUACUUAGGUUCU
rnacentral:sRNA from 1 species